UGGGGAAUAUUGCGCAAUGGGGGAAACCCUGACGCAGCAACGCCGCGUGCGGGAUGAAGGCCUUCGGGUUGUAAACCGCUUUCAGCAGGGAAGACGCAGACGGUACCUGCAGAAGAAGCCCCGGCUAACUACGUGCCAGCAGCCGCGGUAAUACGUAGGGGGCGAGCGUUAUCCGGAUUCAUUGGGCGUAAAGCGCGCGCAGGCGGACCGUUAAGCGGGACCUCUAAUCCUGGGGCUCAACCUCAGGCCGGGUCCCGAACUGGCGGUCUCGAGUGCGGUAGGGGAGGUCGGAAUUCCCGGUGUAGCGGUGGAAUGCGCAGAUAUCGGGAAGAACACCGAUGGCGAAGGCAGACCUCUGGGCCGACACUGACGCUGAGGCGCGAAAGCUAGGGGAGCGAACA
rnacentral:rRNA from 1 species